ensembl:lncRNA
GUUUGACAACAGGACGCUUGAUGACAGCCACAACAACAUCACGCUAAACUCCUGCAGAUUAUUUGCUUGUUAAAGCUCUAAAUGUCACUAAACCGCACAUAUUUCAGCUCAGCUGCAAACGAAACCAACACACUGUGGGAUAAAACGCUGGAAUCGAGUGUCAUGCGCCUCACCUAGUAAGUGCUGUGCUGUGGAUUGUAAAGCAGAGCUCUGGGACGUGUGGACAGACAGAGACUGUAAUGAUGGACAUCUGCUCGUGGACAGUCUGUCUAAAAGCAUAACCGCUGCUGGUCGCGGCGCCGGACGCUCCAGAGGGAGACCGUACUGGUAUCCCCCUUCUUCAGGCGCACCUUCACACUCACUCAUAUCGCAGAGACCCGGCUGGGAUCAAACCAGCAACCUCUGAACCCGUGAGGCAGCGCUCUUACCAGUGAGCCACAGGUCUCUUGUCGAGCUGUGUGAAGGAACUUCUGUUUGACUCUUUACCUGUAUGUGACCCGUGUUUCUCCAAUAAAGCAGUUAAAGUGUGUGGGAUCUGAACCCGCGUCUCCAGCACAGCCGUGUCUUCAGACACGUGUGUUUAUCCACUGAACCAGCACAGACUUCACAUUCAUUUCUGGAGUUUGAGUGGUUUUGUUGGAUGAGAUCAAUGUAAAGUAAGCAAUAGUGGGAUCUGAACUCAGAUCUUCAUGAUUGAAACACAGCGCUUGAUCUCCUGUGCCUCUGAGUCUGUGGAGCUGCUGAAGGUUUUAAACAGGGUUUUAUUGAGAGAUCUGUGUUAAACGAUGCAUGACUUUGUCUGUUGUAGGAUUUGAACCCAG